UGGUGGGUAGUUUGACUGGGGCGGUCUCCUCCUAAAGAGUAACGGAGGAGCACGAAGGUUGGCUAAUCCUGGUCGGACAUCAGGAGGUUAGUGCAAUGGCAUAAGCCAGCUUGACUGCGAGCGUGACGGCGCGAGCAGGUGCGAAAGCAGGUCAUAGUGAUCCGGUGGUUCUGAAUGGAAGGGCCAUCGCUCAACGGAUAAAAGGUACUCCGGGGAUAACAGGCUGAUACCGCCCAAGAGUUCAUAUCGACGGCGGUGUUUGGCACCUCGAUGUCGGCUCAUCACAUCCUGGGGCUGAAGUAGGUCCCAAGGGUAUGGCUGUUCGCCAUUUAAAGUGGUACGCGAGCUGGGUUUAGAACGUCGUGAGACAGUUCGGUCCCUAUCUGCCGUGGGCGCUGGAGAACUGAGGGGGGCUGCUCCUAGUACGAGAGGACCGGAGUGGACGCAUCACUGGUGUUCGGGUUGUCAUGCCAAUGGCACUGCCCGGUAGCUAAAUGCGGAAGAGAUAAGUGCUGAAAGCAUCUAAGCACGAAACUUGCCCCGAGAUGAGUUCUCCCUGACUCCUUGAGAGUCCUGAAGGAACGUUGAAGACGACGA
rnacentral:rRNA from 1 species